GUGUUUAAAGUCAGGCUUUUGUUUGAAUAGAUUAGCAUGGAAUAAUAGAAUAGGACGUUGUGGUUCUAUUUUGUUGGUUCAAGGACACCGUAAUGAUUAAUAGGGAUAUUGGGGGCAUUAGUAUUCAAUUGUCAGAGGUGAAAUUCUUGGAUUUAUUGAAGACUAACUACUGCGAAAGCAUUUGCCAAGGAUGUUUUCAUUAAUCAAGAACGAAAGUUAGGGGAUCGAAGACGAUCAGAUACCGUCGUAGUCUUAACCAUAAACUAUGCCGACUAGGAAUCGGGCGACGUUAUUUUCACGACUCGCUCGGCGCCUUAUG
rnacentral:rRNA from 1 species